rnacentral:rRNA from 1 species
UACGGAGGGUGCAAGCGUUAAUCGGAAUUACUGGGCGUAAAGCGUGCGCAGGCGGUUUGUUAAGUCUGCUGUGAAAUCCCCGAGCUCAACUUGGGAAUUGCAGUGGAUACUGGCAGGCUGGAGUAUGGUAGAGGAAGGUGGAAUUCCCGGUGUAGCAGUGAAAUGCGUAGAGAUCGGGAGGAACACCAGUGGCGAAGGCGGCCUUCUGGACCAAUACUGACGCUCAUGCACGAAAGCGUGGGGAUCAAACAGG